UACGGGGGGUGCGAGCGUUAAUCGGAAUAAUUGGGCUUAAAGGGCACGCAGGCGGGCUUUUAAGUGAGGUGUGAAAUCCCCGGGCUUAACCUGGGAAUUGCAUUUGAUACUGGGAGUCUAGAGUAAUUUAGGGAGGGGUAGAAUUCCACGUGUAGCGGUGAAAUGCGUAGAGAUUUGGAGGAAUACCGAAGGCGAAGGCAGCCCCUUGGGAAUGUACUGACGCUCAUGUGCGAAAGCGUGGGGAGCAAACAGG
rnacentral:rRNA from 1 species